CAGAGUUUAGAGUUAUCAAAACCAAACAUUCAUUGUUCAGAUGGGGUACCUGAAGCCCAGACAAUGGCGGAGAAUUGGUCAAGGUCACACAGGAAGUGGGCGCCAGGGAGGGGAUAAGGCUUCAGGUCUCUUGUCUCCUCUCCAUGUCUUGGCCAAUUACAGUAUUUCAGCCAUGGGCUGGAAUCGGAGAUAACCCGCGAUGGCUGAUUUUCCAUGGGUAUUCAAACAGAGAGGAUCAAGAUGAAGACUUUUCCUCUGGCUUUUCCUUUCCAGAAACCUCUCUUCUCAAGGUCCCCAUCAAGAGAGCAGAUGGAAGGAGGGGAGAAUGGCCAUGGCCCAUCUUGCUGUCUCUUGGCAGUGCUGGAACCUCCAUGAACUGUUUCCUCUUAGGACUGAUGUAUUCAGGGCUGAGGUCACAGUUUGCGAAGAGGAGCACAGGGGGAUGGUACCCAGGGAUCUGGGGCUCAACUGGGAAGGCAAGGAGGAGAGGAAAAUACCUUAGGGGGAACGGAACCUUCACUAGCUCCCUAUUGCCUUUGUCAUAAAACUCCCAGCUCUCAGUGACCUGGCCCCAUCCCACCUGCCUACCAGAGCAUCUGCUGUGUGCCUACCCUUGCGCUGGAGGGAGCCAGGAGAAGGAGAGCAGGUGGUCUCUGCUCUCAGAGAAUUUUCUAUGCAGUAGGGAGGUGUCCAGCUCAGAUGGCUUUGUCCCCGCAUUUGUAACUGGGCAGAAGCUGGGGCCCGGAUGUUUCUGGUUGGAGGAUCCCGAGAACAACGCCCCCGCCCCCCACCCCACCGCCCAUGCCUUUGCAGUCUCUGAAUUGCACGUGGGGGCAGAGAUGCCUCCUGAGAAAAUCACCCACAGGUUUCACAGGAAGAAUCAUUUGGGGUUGGGAGGGACUGAGACACAUCAAAUAAAAUAUUUUCAAACCCAAGCAAUGCUUAAAUCCCCUUUUAAAAUAAAAAUAUUUUCCAAGAACUCUCCCCCACUUCUGUUGACUCAAGUAAUUUCUGUCAUCGUGUUACUUAAGUAUGUACCAACAUGAAGGCCGGAGGAAAAUCCAUCUGCUUAUGGCUCUUGCACGACUAUGAAAGCAAAACAAAUGGACAAGUUAGAGAAUGGCCA
rnacentral:lncRNA from 1 species